GAAAACAGCGAACUGAAGGACAUCCUAUGUCUCAGAGAAAGGGAGAUCAGAGAGCUAAAGGAGCAACACACAGCGGACGUUGGGAACGCGACGAACAGGUCGGAGGGCGAGGAUGCGAAAGUGAGGAAGAUAUUAAUUCUUGUGACUUAUGAUGCAUUGCACUUAGGGUGAUAAUAAUUCCGAGAAUUAACUCCAAUGAUGAUAUUAGUGCUCGUAACGUAAAUGUAGUUCCACUGAUGAUGAUGUUAAUGCUUUAGACAGAACUUCAAGAAAGGAAGGUUGGGAGAAAGAUAAAGUGCGAGAGAAGGAAUUAGAACAAAGGAGGGAAAGGUUGAAGGAGAGGGAGAAAUACAUUUUCACAGAGAGAGAGAGAGAGAAAGAGAAAGAGAGAGUGAAUGGGAGGAAGAACAGGCAUAGUGGAGACAGGAGGAGACCGCAUGUCAUGUCCCUGGCCCCUUUCGCACACAGGAUCGUCUGGAAGAAGGAGCCAGGAAGAUUCGGGAGCUGAGGGCGGAGGUGAGGGAGAUGGAGGAGCAGCUGACGCAAGCCGAGGUAACCUUUCCUUUGGAGGUCAAGCGGAAGUACAAAUACACAGGGAUUGAAGUCACUCCUGGCCAAAGGGAGAUGCAAGAUGUAGAUGCAACAUCAACAACAAUGAAAAGAGAUUGAUAGAUUUGCAUUCAGUGGAAUCAGUUGCACAGUACAUUAGGCUACACAUGUGUGUAUGAAGUAUAUCUCGAAUCUUAUAUGUAUAAUAUGUUAGAA
rnacentral:misc_RNA from 1 species